AGAGUUUGAUCAUGGCUCAGAUUGAACGCUGGCGGCGUGCCUAACACAUGCAAGUCGAGCGGUAACAGGUGUAGCAAUACAUGCUGACGAGCGGCGAACGGGUGAGUAAUGCUUUGGAAUCUUCCCAGUAGUGGGGAAUAACCAGUCGAAAGAUUGGCUAAUACCGCAUACGUCUGUAAAGGGAAAGCGGGGGCUCGUAAGACCUCGCGCUAUUGGAUGAGCCAAAGUCGGAUUAGCUAGUUGGUGGGGUAAUGGCCUACCAAGGCGACAAUCCGUAGCUGGUCUGAGAGGACGACCAGCCACACCGGAACUGAGACACGGUCCGGACUCCUACGGGAGGCAGCAGUGGGGAAUAUUGGACAAUGGGGGAAACCCUGAUCCAGCGACGCCGCGUGUGUGAAGAAGGCCUGCGGGUCGUAAAGCACUUUUAGUGGGGACAAAAAGCUACGGACUAAUACUUCGUGGUCUUGAUUUAACCCAAAGAAAAAGCACCGGCUAACUCUGUGCCAGCAGCCGCGGUAAUACAGAGGGUGCGAGCGUUAAUCGGAAUUACUGGGCGUAAAGCGCGCGUAGACGGUUUUGUAAGUCAGAUGUGAAAUCCCUGGGCUCAACCUGGGAACUGCAUUUGAUACUGCAUGGCUAGAGUAUGGUAGAGGGAAGUGGAAUUUCCGGUGUAGCGGUGAAAUGCGUAGAUAUCGGAAGGAACACCAGUGGCGAAAGCGACUUCCUGGACCAAUACUGACGUUCAUGUGCGAAAGCGUGGGGAGCAAACAGGAUUAGAUACCCUGGUAGUCCACGCCAUAAACGAUGACAACUAGAUGUUGGGAGGGUCUGCCUCUCGGUGUCGCAGCUAACGCGUUAAGUUGUCCGCCUGGGGAGUACGGCCGCA
rnacentral:rRNA from 1 species